GUUUGCCUUACUCACAGACUAUCAACGUUGUAUAAACAAAAGGGAGCAGACAUGUUUAUCUCUGUGUGCAGCGAGUCUUACUCGCUCACUUUUACUCUUCAGAUAUUUAAGAGUUGUCAGAGUUGCCGGGAGCGGAGGCGGUGUGUGAUGAGGUUUGAAGGCUGGUCUCUCGUUCCUACAUCUCACAACGGCCCCUGGAAUGUCUACACUGCCUCCUACAGUUAUUCGUGAGGCCAGAGGGGGCAUGCCAGCUGAGGACACAAUGCGCAGUGAGACUGCAGACCCCGGGCAAGGUGAAGGACAAAGAGCGCCUCCCCACUGACCCUCUGAGAACUGCACCUGCGCACCUCUGACAUCUCAUUCAGCAAACAGAACACGGUGAAGACAAGCGUAUGAAAAGGA